rnacentral:lncRNA from 1 species
UAUGGUAUCUUAACACAUGCCAUGCAUCAAAUACUUGCAAUCUUAUAUAUGCCACUAGCAACCAGAUGCCCAAAAACUGUCUUUAAAUACCUAGUCCACAGCAUUGGGCAUUCUGAAUUCUCGUGUAAUAUGGUAUCUUAACACAUGCCAUGCAUCAAAUACUUGCAAUCUUAAGGUCAUCUAUAUUUUUAAUACCUUCACAGUACGGCAAUACCCCUGAUCCAGCUAUAAUGAUAUAAAAUAACAUUCAGAACACCAACUUAUAUAGACAAUCACCUACACAUGAUCUUCUAAAAGAUUAGCUUCACAAUCAAGCAUCUAAACAUGACGUACAGAAAACACUGUAUUUUAUAGCAUAAGCACGAGGCAGCUACACCAGCGAUAAACUAAUCCUGUCCAUUGAGUCACAUCACUAAUGCCUACGGAAUCAUACUGUCAUGCUGGCUGUACCAACAUAUUGGCCUGCUCAUG